CAAGCUCCCCCUUCCUCGUCCAUUCCCUUAGCCCACAUCACAAGCUCUCCCUUCCUCGGCCAUUCCCUUCACCCAUAUUUCAAGCUCCCCCUUCCUCGGCCAUUCCCUUAAUCCUUAUCGCGUUAUUUAGUAUGGUAAUGAGACGCUGACCACCUUCUAUACUGUUAGUAGUUACGAAUUUAACUUUGCCGUCUCUAGUAAGAUUGACGUUCCGGAAAAUAAAAGACGUAAUCGGAUCGAGAGAAAAACAAGUGUUAACAGCACAAAAACUGUGCUAGAUCGGCGUCGCAUGACCCUCCAACACCCCCAACAAUUUAUAUUAUGCACUUAAGGGUUUAAAAUGGAAAAUGCAGGAAAGUAAAGGUGGCGCCACUAUAAACACUUGCCUGCGCCACAACGGGCUGGGGCCGACCAUCAGGCCCUACUAUGAAGGCCUACCGGCACCACAGGCCAACACGUAAAAAAAAAAAAAAAACUUUGUAAUGCCAUGUUGUAGGGUUCAUCAGGGCUAACAAAUGUUAUUAUGCAAUGUCAUGUCUGCACUGCAUGGCUAAGCCAGGAAAACAACUUGAACAGAGCAACAAGAAUAUGGACAAUCUGUCGAUUGGCGUCUGCGACGCCGAUAAAAAGGUGACCAAAAAUAAGAAAUAAAAAAUAAAAUAACACUUCCAGCAAGAAUAAUAAAAAGCAGGAUACAAAAACAUGUAUAGGUGCGUUCUUUUGUGUGUGUGUGUGUGUGUGUGUGUGUGUGUGUGUGUGUGUGUGUGUGGCGGGGUUACUGGAUCCGCCACGGUGCGUAGGAGGUGAUAAGGGUGGUGAUGGCGUCGCGUCUGUGAUUGUGGGUCAGCGUCAAGUAAUACAUAGUCCAUAGUCUUACACGUAUCAGACUCCCAUCAAGACUAUUUUCCGAGGCCUCCGAGAAGAUUAACCGGGUUCUCAUGGGCGGAUUAACAUUCAAGACGCAGAGGUCGUGUCUAACUAUCACAAGCAUCACAAGACAGUCGAUGGAAAUCCCAGCAACUCCCAUGAGCGUCCUUUCAAACCGGCCAACUUAGGUGGCGAUAGGUUUAGGAAUAUGGCUAAGUAAGGGCCGCCCGUAGUAACCAAGGACUGUAAUCUGCGUGUUUAUCAUCAAUACCAGACGCGAUAGUGAGUUUUUUUAAUAUAUUUUUUAUGAAAGUAUAGAUAACAGGCUAACGUAGGUGGCGAUAGGUUUAGGAAUAUGGCUAAGUAAGGGCCGCUCCUGGGGGCUUCGUGGUGCUCACAACCGAGAGAGCCCGAGUUCGAUUCCCGGGUGGAGUUGAAAAAUUUGGGCGGCUUUUCCGAUACCCUACGCCCCUGUCCACCCAGCAGUGAAUGGGUACCAGGCUUUAAUCGGGGGUUGUGUCCCGUCUCCUGGGGUCUGUUCCCUUCUAUAAUUCCUUCCCCCUCCUGUCUCUCUCCGGCAUAUGACCACAGAUGUUGCGCCGACUAAACGAAACUUUCCAAACUUUCCAAGGGCCGCUCCGUAGUAACCAAGGACCGAUUAUGCAUUACCAAAGACGUUUUUAUCAUCAUUACCUCCCGCGAUAGUGAGUUUUUUUAUAUAUAUUUUUAUGAAAGUAUAGAUAUUCACAAUCUUGACAUGGCGUUCACAUAUACGUCGAGGCUAUAAUUCUAGGUUUGUCUGCUUGAGAAAAGAGAAUACAGGAGUUGAUGUUUGGGUACAGGCUGUGUCUAUCCGCGUGGUGUGGGCACAGGAGGGGGUGACGUCACAGGUGGGAUGCUGCGUUGAUUAGCACCUGUGUGGUCACCGGGAGGAUGUGGCGGCGCCGCACCCUGAUAACUGUGUGUGUGUGUGUGUGUGUGUGUGUGUGUGUGUGUGACAAGUAACAAAAUGAGGAGGAUGCUAAUAAUAAAAGUGAUGACAUAGAGAUAAAAGGUAAAUGCGUAGUCCUCCAUGAGAGAGAGAGAGAGAGAGAGAGAGAGAGAGAGAGAGAGAGAGAGAGAGAGAGAGAGAGAGAAUGUAAUCUAACCUCGACACACCUAAAAAAAUAAAGUAGAAAAGGAUUGAAAUAAAAUAAAGUAACAAUCAACCAGAGAGAGAGAGAGAGAGAGAGAGAGAGAGAGAGAGAGAGAGAGAUAACGGAUACUUACCCACCACAAUACUCAAAAGCCAAGGAGACGGAGAUGAACACUAAGGCCAUGCGCAUCUUACCAUACCCUCCCCUAACUUAACCUUUACUUACGAUAACUUAUAAGAAAAUCAAAAGCAUAGCAUCGCACUGUCCUAUACCCGUUUGCGAUAACCUAUAAGAACACCCAAAGCAUAACACUACACUAUCACACCUGCGUUCUUGUGUUAGCGCUAAAUCGCUAAAUAUAAUAAUCACAAGUGCCCCUUAAGGAAUAGAAAAUGGGAUGUCAGCGCAAUGGUCGGUAUCUCACAGACACAUCCAUCUCUCACAUCAACUAUAUCUCAAAGCCGAAAAUGAGAUUAGUCGGGUUGUAAUGAGUGUUUUUUGAGGCUCAUGGUACAGAAGAAGGGUCAGACUACCACCAGGAUCAUAGAACUACCCCUGGAAAUGCCCACAGCAAAUAUGAAAGCCUUGUCAAAUAUGUGUUCUUGAGCGUUGAAAUGUUAAACUACCACCAGGAUCAUAGAACUACCCCUGGAAAUGCCCACAACUAUGAAAGCCUUGCCAGUAUGUGGUCUUGAGCGCCGUUAUGUUAAACUACCACCAGGAUCAUAGAACUACCCCUGGAAAUGCCCACAACAACUAUGAAAGCCUUGCCAGUAAGUGUUCUUGAGCGCCGUUAUGUUAAACUACCACCAGGAUCAUAGAACUACCCCUGGAAAUGCCCACAAC